UGAUUAGGAUUUAGGAGUGAGAUUUAAAUAAAUAAAAGAAUUGACUAAAUUAUUGUUAGAGAAAUAUAUGGUAACAUAUUGUUAGUAUAAAUUUAAGGUAAGACAAAAAAAUAAUGAAUUAAAUGAAAGGGUCCAAACAAUUUUUAUAGGUAGAUUUUUUUAGACUCCUUCCCUUUUAAUAGUAUUGACUAGAUUUUGACCCACGCUUAAAAAGCGCAGGUUUGUUUUCGAAAUCAAAUAAAUUCUUUUGAAAUCAUUUUUUAUAGAUAAUAUAUAGUUUGAGCAUAUUUAUUCGGAACUGGAAUCGAGCCAUACCAACCUAAAAACAACGAAACCAAUUGAACUGAAUUUCAUAAAUAACCUAACAAAUCAUAUAUCUCUGGAAUAAAAAAAUAAACCGAACCGAAAACCAAACAGAUAUACCUGAAUUUUAAAAAUUCAAAUAAUAUACUUAAAAAUAUUGGAUUAAUUAAAACCUAUUUAUAUAUUCAAAUUUUGACAAAAUCCAAAAACUUUUUAUUAACCCGUGAACCGACACCGGUUGACCUGACAAAGACCCAUAAUAAUCUUAUAAUAUUUUCAAAAUUUUGAUUUAAUUUCAGAUAUACAUUAUAAUAGUAUAUAAAACCGAAUCAACUAUUUGAUCCGCAAUUUUAAAGCGCGGAAAUAUGUUUUGACAAAAUUUUACUUUAACAAAAAUAAUGAUAUUUGUUCCUUGCGUUUUUAUAUUUGCAAUAUUUUAUUAAAAUACAAAUUUGAAAAAUAAACUGCAUCCAAAUUUUAUAUUCAAGAAAUCAUUUUAUUAGAGAAAAAAAUAGAAAUAAUAUUUUUUGACAAUAUAUUUUGAGGUGUAUAUCCAUAUUCUAAAGGUUUGAAAAAGUUUGUUAGUAUUUUUUAAGUUGCAGACUUUUAUAUUCAUAUUUCUUAAAAAUUAAAUUUGUAAUAUUUUAUAUACACUAGAAAAUAAAUGAGGAAAUGUAUUUAAGGAAAUCAAAUAUUCUACAUGUUAAGCUAGAAAAUUAAAUAGUUGACAAAAAAAAAGCUAGAAAAUUAAAUUAAACAACACGUUAGCAAAUUAUCUCAAUAGAUAUGGUAUUGUUAGAGAAAAUAAGGGUAAGACCAAACAAAUAUUAAUGAGUAGGUGCAACAACCUUUUAUAAGUAGAUUUUUUUGAGGACUCCUUUCCUUUUAAUAGUACAGAUGUUUUAAAUUUUAAUAUCAUUGAAUUGUUUCUAUGGAUGGACUUUUCUUGGCCACCGUAAUAUUUUGAGGUUUACUAUGAUCGAACCUAAAACAGUAAAAGAAAAUGUUCAAUCGUAAACGAACCUCAUGGGUCCUGAACAACACUAACGAUUGAUAUUGAAUCUCAAGUCGUUUUCGUUUUGAACUGUUCACAUUUUUAUAUAAGUUAUUUGAUUUUCAUUUUGUUAAAUUAUUUUGUUAAUAUCCUACAACUUGUUCUUUUCUCGUUGUCCCCGAGGCUGAGAAACUUUUUGAAAAAAAAAAAAUUUCAUUGGCCAUUAUGAUAUUUUAUAAUAUUUUGGGAACUCGGUACUGGUUGUAGGAACUUUAUUUUACUACCAUAGGACAACUGAUAUUUGUAAAAAAUAAUAAGAACAUAAACUAAAAAUUUCAAUACCGAAAUAUAAAAAAUAAAGAAGAAUUGCAGAGUCGAGAUAGUUAAUCUCUUUCCUUAAAUCUUUAAACGCCCCAUAGUGUGACGGUUUUAUGGCGCUCAGAUUCCCAAGAUACAACUGCAGCAUUGUUUCUGUUUACCAUCACCGAAAAACAGAAUCUAUCGAACCUUUUUUCUGUGAUGUACUCUCAGACUCAAAAUAAAAAAUAUACUAGCAUAACUAUUCUGAGUAGAGGAAUGUGUUGGUGUGUGUGUUUUCUAAAUGGCUCACAAGCCUUUAUAUAGAAAUAUAAUGAGAAGCACAAGUUUCAUUUUUCAACAUAAAAAUGAAACCUCCAUGGUGCACUAAUGGAGUUUUUAAUUCUUGUCAUUAUUAUGUGAAUUUAUUCCACAUUUGGCCAAGAAAUUAAAGAAUAAAAUUGUUAUUGUUUUGACCAAUUCAAACAAAAUAAUAUACUUUAAAAUGAAUUUCUUUUUUAUAUUUAUCAAUAUAAAAGAUCAACAUAUAUUUGGUUUAUAAGAUUAAGUCAGUGAACAUGAAGUCCAACUAACAAAUCAAAAAACCCAAAUCCAAGUUCAAAUAUCCAAUGUGUGUAUUUGCUACUUUAUACAAGUUUUUCAAAUCACACACAUUAGACCUCCAUUUCUCAUUCAAAUAAAACUUAUUUUUUGACAUAUGAAUACAUUAUUCAUAAUGUUCAAAAAAUAGUUCCAACAAUCCCCCACAUGAAUAGAAAUGACUCUAGACACUAGACGACUCGACAAACUUGACUUCCUAGACAAGACUCGAUCUAAAGACUUUUGAGAGUACAAACGAAAAAUCCACUGCAUGAUGAGUUGGUAGCAAUUUUUCAGCCUUGAACCAGUCAUUGUUAAUAGCUAUCGGAUUUACUCGGCCAGGAGGUGGCCAUGAUGUCUUGAACCUCCCGGGCUUUGGUGUAAACCUAGACAAUAGCUAUAACACAGCUUCAUUCUCUCACAGAACUAGGUUCUCUAUUGUGUUCAUUUUGGCCGUGAACAGUCCUGGUAAUCAUGAGUGAACUUGGAUAAUAUAGCAUUUCCUUCAUUCUCCUAGAAACGGCCCCAUUUCACACUCACAAGGUGAUUUGCCAUUAGUUUUGUUUAGAGGAGUAUCAUGUACUACUCCAUUCAUAUCUCAAAGCUAUGGACACAAAUCAUUAAAAGCAAAUGCUUAUCCUAUAAUCCUUACAUGUAGCACUGUUUAAUCAUCAUAGGAACUGGGUAUAGACCGAAGUCUUACAGUGCUUUGGGUAGAUUUAGUUUGACUUAGUUGUCUCCUUGAACCUAUUUCUUGGGAUCUCCAGUCAGUUAGGUAGAGUUACCGCCAAACCUCAUCUUAAUUCACAGGCUACCCAUUCCUUUAGAUGAUAUAACAACUUGAUCUCAUGACACACCGUUAAUAAAAGGAUCCUAGGUUAUCAUCAUAUUGAACAUAAUCUUUUGAGAUUAGUCGAGAUCAAUUGUCUAAUGUUUUUUGUCAUCUUUUUUCAAGAUACAAUUAAUUAUUAUACACAAAACUCAGUGUAUGACACUAGUUUUUUUUUCUUAAAAAAUAAUAUUGUGAUAACUAUCACUAAGUUCAUUUGGCAUCUUGCCAAUAACUUUAUAUGGUAAGCAAAGCUUCCCCCACAUUUCUUGAGAUAACUCAAAAAUAUGCAUAUUUGCAUUCAACAUCUCUUAAGAGUUUAGAAGGAUUGAUUUACAAUUCUUUUAGAUUUAAAUGAAUAUAAAGCAACUUCGAAAAAUGUAUUUCAUUCUUAGAAAUUCACAUUUUACAUACAACUAUUUUCAUAGUUCUCUCAAACUGAUUUAUAAAUUCAAGUUGUAUGUUUUGGAUCUUUCCAAACACAUAUUUUACUUUUUAGCAAAUACACAUAUCAUUUCAAGAUAUUAUUUUUUCCAUCAAGACCAUUAUAUGAUUAUUCUCAACCAUAUUGACUUUAUAAACUACAAUACACAUGUCACUUUCAGUCAUAUUGGUCUGAAAAUUAUCAUUGUUUUUGCAUGGUCAAUCUUCUUGUAACUUGCAUUUAAGCAUUGAUGAAAUAUAAAUGUUUUUGACCAAUAUCAACAAACAUUUUAUUUCCUAUGGCAAAUGAUUUAUAUGUGGCAGACCUCUCCCAAACUUAAUUUGGGGCGUCGACUCACAAAAUCCAUUUCCAUCCAUACAACUUGAUCUCUCAAAGAUCAAGAUGCUUUUUAUAACUAUGGUAUCACCAUUCUUGAAACUUGAAUUCUUUUUCUUUUCUCAUGAUCACACAUUUACUUAAUAAUUAAAUUAAGUUAUUCCAAGAAAAGAAAUCUGAAACAAGAAAUCAAAACGUUAAGCAUUCUUUAUAAUUAAAGCAAAUUAACACCAUCAACCCAGUCAAAGCAGUAACACAUUUUGACCAAUAUUAAAAAAUAAAAAACUGAUUAAAUAACCAUUCAAUCAAUUAAUUAUUAUGAAAUUAAGAGUUCACAAACCCCAUUCCAAAACGUUACCAAAGACGUUUGGAAAAUGGUUUUCACUGUCGCCAUUAAAGGUCUUGAUGAUAUGAUCGCUUAUGUUUCAAUUCCUUUUUCGGUUUGACCGAAAGAUGAAACCUGUUCUUAUGAAGCAUAAAAGAUAUCAAAUUCAUUAACUCCAAAAUAUUAAUUAUUUUAAUGAAUCUAACAACAAAAUCUCAAAUAAUCAAGUUUCAGAAAUCAGAAGAGAUAAUUUCCCAACACCAAGAAUUCUCUAAUUCUUGUUUUUCAUAACCUGUUCUCAAAAAAAAACUUUUAACAAAUAUCAGUAUUGUUAGUGCAAAGCAUAAACAAUAUUUAAAGAUUUAAGAGUGUAGAAACCUUAUUUUACUAUCAUAGGACAACUGAUAUUUGUAAAAAAUAAUAAGAACAUAAACUAAAAAUUUCAAUACCGAAAUAUAAAAAAUAAAGAAGAAUUGCAGAGUCGAGAUAGUUAAUCUCUUUCCUUAAAUCUUUAAACGCCCCGUAGUGUGACGGUUUUAUAGCGCUCAGAUUCCCAAGAUACAACUGCAGCAUUGUUUCUGUUUACCAUCACCGAAAAACAGAAUCUAUCGAACCUUUUUUCUGUGAUGUACUCUCAGACUCAAAAUAAAAAAUAUACUAGCAUAACUAUUCUGAGUAGAGGAAUGUGUUGGUGUAUGUGUUUUUUAAAUGGCUCACAAGCCUUUAUAUAGAAAUAUAAUGAGAAGCACAAGUUUCAUUUUUCAACAUAAAAAUGAAACCUCCAUGGUGCACUAAUGGAGUUUUUAAUUCUUGUCAUUAUUAUGUGAAUUUAUUCCACAUUUUGACCAAGAAAUUAAAGAAUAAAAUUGUUAUUGUUUUGACCAAUUCAAACAAAAUAAUAUACUUUAAAAUGGAUUUCUUUUUUAUAUUUAUCAAUAUAAAAGAUCAAUAUAUAUUUGGUUUAUAAGAUUAAGUCAAUGAACAUGAAGUCCAACUAACCAAUCAAAAAACCCAAAUCCAAGUUCAAAUAUCCAAUAUGUGUAUUUGCUACUUUAUACAAGUUUUUCAAAUCACACACAUUAGACCUCCAUUUCUCAUUCAAAUAAAACUUAUUUUUUGAUAUAUGAAUACAUUAUUCAUAAUGUUCAAAAAAUAGUUCCUAACACUGGUUUCCAAGUUCGUUACUUCCUUAAAGUGUAGAUACUAGUAGUAGUAGAAAUGGGACGGAACAAUAUAAUUUUAAACAAAGGUUUAGCCCAUGCGAACGAAGCGUCGAAGCUUCGUUCAUUUUAUAUGCCCAUUCAAGUAUCAACAUAAGCACAUAUGUAGUUGUUGACCUCUGAGACUGAAUCUUAUUACAAACACAGAUCGAUCCAUUCAUAUCCAUUUCCUUUCUAAUUAGCUUAGAGUUCAAAUACAAACUAGUCCGACUCUGAUCAAAAUCAAUCCAAUGUGCAAAUGGCUGGACCAAUCCAAUUUAAAACCGUUUCGUCCGAAAAAUGAAAUGGCUGAUUUUGCCCCAAAAUUGAUCUUACAAUCGUUUUUUUUUAACUGAAUCUGUUGGAAAUUGCGCACCAGAAAGAAAUUUAUUUUGUUUCACAAAAAUGCUUCUUAAUAUUUUCCAGUUAAUUGUCCAUAUUCUUUUAUUCCAGUUUAUUAGAAGCGUUAACAUUUUUCUUUUUGUAGUCAAAAACCAUAUGACUAAAAGCUUUGAUAUGGAUCUUUUCAUGUUUUAAGUUUUAAAACAUAACUAGAUCUUCACCUGCGCUUUGCAAACGCAUAAUAUUUUAUGAUAAAAAAUUUCAUUAAUAACUUAACAAAUAUUUUGUUAAUUUGUAAGAUUUUGUGUAUUUAAAAUAUUUUGCAUUUAAAUCAGUGCUUUUAAAUUCGACCCGAACUCGCGGUCAAACCGGUUAACCCGGUGAUCCGAUAAUUCGAUUUAGAUUUUUAAAAAUAUCCAUAUUUUAAAAAAUCACUAAAACUCUAGACUAACCGAUUGAACCGAUAGAUGACCGAUAUGUAAUCCAAUUUGAUUUAAAUUGUUAUAGUUUCAUAAUUUGUUACCUUUUAAUCCAAAUUUUAAAGUUCAUUGUUUUGCAAAAGAAAUGACGUUUCUACAAAAUUUUGAUAGAGAAAAUGAUAAAUUUGAAAAGUGGUAUCAAACUUGUGGUACAAUUAAAAUUUCUCCUAUUUUAUAUUGUUUGGACACAAGAUUAAUUAUAGUGUUAUUUGGAAACAUGGAUAGUAGUAUAAAGAAAUGAGUCUAUUGUUUGGAAACAUAGAUUGUAGUAUAAAGAAAAGAAUAUUAGUGAUUUAAUGUAGGUUUAACUAUAAAGUAGAAAGAUGUAUUUAAUUUUAAAACUUACAAAAUAAAUGUUAAGUCCAACAUAAUGUUUCUGUUUUAAUAAGAUAUACUAGAAUCGGAUUGCACGUUCAAACGGGUGAUAUUGAUUUUAAUAACAAAGUAUGUAAAAGUUAAAGAAAAUAAUUAAUUGUGUUAUCUGAAGAAAUUAAUAUUUAAAUUUGAGCAACAUAGAAUUAAAGGAAUAUCUUAGGAUAGCACAAAACAAAUUAUCACAAAAUAACACAAAGGUCAAAUUGACCAAAACUUGUUCUAUUAAAGAGUUAAAUGAUAAUUAUACCUUUAUUCUAUAUAUAUAUAUAUAUAAAAUUAAAUAUAUAUUAAAAUAAAUGAUUUUUAAUAAAAGUAAAGAAUUUUUAUUUUCGAAAAACUAUUUGAAAAUUUUCAAAUUUUAAUGAAAAUUGAUUUAAGAAAAACUCUUUUUUCUUUAAAAACACUAUGAAUACCAUCCUAAAUAUGUAUGAUAUUUUCCUGAAAUUACGUUUAGGAAAACAUUUCUUAAUGCGUAUAAUAUCUUCAUGAAUUCGAGUUUAGGAAGACAUUCCUAAAUAACUAUAUUAUCUUCUUAAUUUUUUUGAAUAUUUUGAUUAAAAUGUAUGAUAUUUUCAUAAAAUUUAUGAAGCUUUCAUAAAUAUAUAUUUAAAAAUACGUUAAUAAAUGUUUAUUUAUAAAACCCUUCAUGAAUAUAUAUUUCCGAAUAUAUUAUUGAAUUUUGAUUUUAUGUAAAUUUGGUAUGAUAUUCUUAAAUUUGAUAUCUAAAUUUUAUAAAAUAUUAUAUGUAUUAAAAAUCAUCUUUGUAAAUUUUUUAAAAUUAUACAUAUUGAAUAAUAGUUUCUUAAAUAUGCAUUAAAUAAAAUUCAGGAAAAUGACAUAAAAAUUCUAUUUACACAGACAAAAAAAUAUUACACAGGUAAGAUUAUACACAGGUAUGAUGACAAAAAAAAAAAAAGACAUACACAUUUAGGGAAGAUUUGCCUAAAUAUACAUACAAGUUACAUUCAAAAAAUCUAUUUACACAUGUAUGAUGACAUUCCUGAAUAUGGAAUUUCUUUUACAAAUUAAAAAGAUAUCAUAAACGUUCAAGAAUGACUUCCAAAAUGUUUUUUAAGAAAAUAGUUUUCCAAAAUAAAGUUUUGCCUUUUUUUUUAAUUUCUGAAUAUUUAUUUAUUUUUAAUAUAUUUAAUAAUUAAUUAAUUAAAAUAUAAAUAAUAAUAAUUUUUUCAUUUAACCCUUAAGUGAAACCUAUUUUGGUCGAUUAAAAAUUAUAUUUAGAGAUUUUUUUGUAUUUAUAUUUAUACUUCCAUAAGUUUUAAAAAUAUGUAUAGUGCUUGGUGCUAUAUUGUUAUUAGAUGAUAUUAAAUAUCAAUUUACCAUUACUCAAUUAAAAAUUUUAUAUGGGAAUUUUGUUGUUUUAUAUUUAUAUUUGCAUAAUUUUUAAAAAUAAUUGCAAUGUUUGUGAUAUAUUGUUAUUAGUUGAAAUUAAAUAUCAGUUUACCAUUAUAAUAUUUGAUAUCGAGAUAUAUUUAUAGAAACAAAGUAUUUGAAGUUAAGGAGACUAAAUAAAUUUCUAAAGAUAUUUAUACUUCAUUUUUAUAAAUUUUCCUUUCAUAAAGUUUUUAAAAAUUGUAGUAACAUAAUAAUUAUAUGAAUCAUGUAUAUAUUUAUACAAAAAUCAAUGAUCAAAUCUAGCUAAUAUAUAUCUGAACCAAAUUAAAUAUCAGUUUGAAAAUACGUUGGGACUCCACAUAAACGGAUCCAAAUCGUAUAUUUUGCAGGAAAAAAGAAUAGCCAAAGUCUAAAGCAAGCUGCCGAGAUGAGAGAAUUAACCGUAGCCUCACUGCCUAUAAGAUAUUUGGGCAUGCCUUUAACAUCAAAGGUAUGGAGUAAAACAGACUAAUGAGCCUUUGAUUGAUCAGCUCAUAAGCAAAUUCUUGUCUUGAAUGCCUAGUGCUCUGUCUUUGCAGGCCGUCAUUAGCUAAUUAAGUAUGUUAUUACUAGCACUGUUAGUUUUUGGAGUUUGGGUUUAUCCUACCUAAGAUUUGACUUGAUACUAAAGAGAGCAUGUUGAGCACUUUCUUAUGGUCUGGAUCUCAAACUAUUAAUCACAAGGCGAAAGUUUCUUGGGCAGAGCUCUACUACCCUAAAGAAGAAGGAUAAUGGGAUUCAUAGGAUACGAGAAACAUCCCGUGCUUUUGCAUUAUUUCUCAUUUGGUAUGUUAUCUGGUGAAAGAAAUGAAACCAGGGACCAUCUGUUCUUUCCCUAUACCUAUUCAUCUACGGAAUGGAUGAACAUUGCAGGAAGGUUACUUGGUGCAGUUUAGCCAUUACGCUCGACUGGGAUGACAUGGUCUCAACACUUUUGCAAGCUAAUCAAUGCCGCAUAUUUAUUUAUUGAGUAUUAAUUUAUAGGGUUACUAAUGUAGUAUACAUAACUGAUAUCUUGUGUUUUUCAUUGAAUUAACCAUCCAUUUAGUAUGCAUAUUGAUCAUUUAGAUUAGCAUUUACGCAUCAUUAGGUUGCGUUUUCAUUCACAUGUUCCUAUUAGGUGUUGUAGUAUCCUUUUGGAGUUUUUGGAGGUGUUUGGAGCCAUCUUGGGCCAAAAAAGUGAAGAUUGAGAUUUGGGUAAAUGAAAUAGCAAAGAUUAAAGAAUGUGGUCGGCCGUGGGUUGAUCUCGCGGACCAACCCCGUCUGUGGAUUCGGGUCGGAGAGGUCGAGUUUUGAGUGAGCGAUCCACAGACGAUGGCCACGGGUGAAGGAAGUCUGCGGAAUCAAGGCAGUGAAGUCGAGUUUUUACAUGGAUGAACCGCGGACCACAUCCGCCGACUGAGCCCGUUCGCGGUCGACACCUAGACCAACUUACCCAUUUGUUUUUGGGUCAAACCUGGGUUUGUCGGGUUGACCCAGUUUGAGUUUUUAAACUACUAUAAAUAGUUUUAGACCUAAAACAUGGAUCUUAUCUCAUUUUCUCUCAAGAAUUUGUCUAAUAUUGCAAAGUCUUGAACAUUUUGAUCAUUUAAGGAAGUACUUCAUAUUAUAUUUAUGUUUCUCUUGCUCAUUAAUCUGAUUAGUCUUGAUCCUUACAUGGAUUUAAGGUUUCUCAUUGAGAUUAGUGAGUAGUGACCUUGUGAUUCAUUGGUUAGGUGGAUUAGGGUGAUUAGAUGUAUAUUUAGGAUGUUUUUUUCUUGAUUAACAUUUUUAUAUGCUUUCUAAGUGUUCUUAAUGUUAGAUUAGACUUGAUCACUCUCAUCUAGACGUUAAACUAUUUUAUGCCCGAAAGGUGUUAAAAUGCUUGAAUGAACUUAGUAUUACUCUAGCUUGAAUAACCAAAAGGAUUUGAUGUUAGGAUUGCUAAAUGGUUAGUAGACUUGAACACAACGUAUGCUUGAAUGUGUUAGGCCAACGAGAGUUGAUGUUUAAUGCAUGAUUAGCAUAAGGAUUAUUAUCACGGGAGUGGAUUAAUCUAUUUGAAUGAGAUCUGGACCUAUAGGAUUGUUGAUUGUUUUCUUUGAACAUUCUUGAUUGAACAUUGAUCACAUUAUAUCAAAUAUCCUUGCCCAUGGAUCUAUCCUUAGCAUUUGAUUGGAAGCUUAGUUCUUGCACUUAUUUCUUGACUGAAUUUGAGAUCAACUUCUUUAUAUUUCUAGGAUUUUGGCUUGUUACCAAUUAUUCAUCUUCUUAUUUGUUUAGACUAUGAAAGUUUGUGUAUUUUUAUUGUUAUAGAUCACUAGUUCUUUGUGGAUUCAAUCCUAAAGUGAUGGAUCGAUAUACCUUUCGAUUGUGGUAGCGUGUACAUUAUGUUAAUUGACCUGUAAUAAAACGUAGUAAUCAAUAACUAAUAAUGAUUUGAUGAAAGGGACUAUGGGGCUUAGCCAUGACCUCCUCCAUCCACUUUUACGUCCAUGAUCUCCACCAAGAAAAGAGAGAACAUUUUAAAAACUUCUUGUGCAAGUUUAACCGGAUAAUCUCUUAGGAUCUUCUAAAGUAAAAGUUCACAAAGAAUGUUCAAUUUGCAAGGCUUCUUCAUCUGAUAUGCUCCAGUCUAAGUCAACACUUUCCAUAGUAUUUUUCCAUCACAUAAGUCAUAAGUCAUAACCAUGUUAUACUACAUUUGUACUCUUCUAUUUAAAUGAGAUAUCAAAAAUGGUAACAGAAAAAUUGAGAUCUCUUAAAAGAAGACAUAUCAAAUUAACAAUUGGCGUUAAAUAAUUAAGGGUCUAGCACUCUAUCUGGUAACUAUCACAUUAACACUAAGAACGAAUAUGAAAAGAACAAAUAUAUUAAAACUAUUGGAAUGAUGAAAAAUGAUGAUUUUUUAUCAAAUUUAGUGACUAACAAAUUUGGUCUAUAUAUUACUCUACAAUAAAAAAAUGAGAAAGAAUAGAAAGGAAAAACUAUUCCUUAUAAAUGAUAAAAAUUCUUAAGAAUAUUAAAGAAUGCAUUGUUUCUCUUCAUUCUUUGGUCAUCAUUCAUAGUCUAAAUAAUAAAUUUCCAUAGAAGAAUUUACACACAUGAAUAUCUAGUAUAUUCAUAAACAAAGUUACAGACAUGAAUAUCUAGGGUUCAAGAAAUAUGUUUACACGUUUAUAAAUCAUAAAAAUAUAUUUAAUAUAUUUAAAUUUUAUAUAAAUAUUAUUAUUUAUAAAUGAUAAAUUUUAUUUUCUUUUAUUUUCAUUACAUUUUAUACUAAUAUAUAUAUAUGUAUAUAUAUAUAUAUAUUAUCAUUUAUAUAUUAAAUUUUUUUUAUUGUUAUAAUUGUCUAAAAGGUUUAGAAGAUAAUCACAAAGGUUUAUCGACUUGGGCACCAUUUAGAACGCUUUUUAGAACAUUAUAAUAUCAAAAAAACUGUUACGAAUGAAUACAUAGCGAACUGUUUAAUAGCAUGUGCAAGUGGCGCAGUCAAACAACGUCCGAGUUUAAGAAAACAUAUAUGCAUGUUUUUAAAAUAAAAAUAGAAAUUAUGGUCUAAUACUUUAUAUUUUUAAAUAUACUACUAAAUUCUUAGCUUAUAAUUUCAAAACAAAUGUUAACUAUAUAUAAACAAAAUUAUUAAUCUAUAAAAUACUUCAUGACAUGGUUAAAUAUACAGUUAACAUUGUUUUAAACAUGGUCUAAAAAUAAUUUGAGACGGUACGGAUACAUAUCUAGUAAGUUUGUGGUGUUCUCUCAUCCUACUUCAUGCUAUAUAUUAAAUGCGUAGUCAUUUAAUUGACUUUUUUUCAGGUGUCAAUCAUAUGUGAAGUUUAAGAAAAAUUGUUAUAAUUUUAUUGGUUUAUUUAUAAUUUUAAUUUAUUUUAAUCAUAUUUUGUAAAGGAAAUUAUAGAACUAAUUAAUAUUAUUUUCCCAACAAUCCAUUUAAUAAUACAAAUAAUCACUUCCAGUAACUUAUUUUAAAAAUUAUGGAAGUUUAUGUAAUGCUUCAUUAUUUUAUUUUUUUAAAAACUAUAUGAAGUAUAGAGAUAAGAUGGUAUAUAUAAAAGCCAAUAUAAUAACUUUAUUUUUCUAUUGUAAAUCAGCAUUAAAAAUAACUUCAUUUCCUAUAUAAUAAGUUAUAAUAUACGUAUAUAGGACAUUGUAAUAACUAUUAAUCUAUUAAUUAAUUUUUUUUAUAAUUUUAGAUUAUAUAGUAACAUUUAGUUAUUAAUCAAAAGUCCACUUUUAGCUACAAUUUGUUUAGAAAUUAAAAUAUCAACAUUGUACACCUUAUGACCUUAAUUUUUUAAGUAAAUAAAACAUAUGUAAUGAGGUAUACCAUAAGGUGUAAUCCUCAAUAAAUAAUACUAUUAAAUUCACUUUUUAGCGUAAUACAUACUAUUAUAAAAAUAUGUAUUUCAAAAAAUAUUAAAGUAGUAAAAUAAAUAUAAAAAUAUGUUUUCAGUAAAUAUAUAAUACAUGUGAUUAAAAUUGAAUCUAUAUUUUUAUAAAAUAUUUACAUUCGCAAAAACGUGAGGAUCCCCCUAGUACGAAAUUGUUUUUAAAUAAAUUCAUUAAUGGAGUUAAAUAAAUUUAGAGUGACUGUAUACAUUUGAUGGAAUCCAAAAAGAAACCUAACAUUUGCAACUACAAGUUCUUAUUUUGACAAAAGUUUUAGUUACAGAGUUAAAAUUAUAAUGCAAACCCAAAUAUCCGAAAAGACGUAUGAAAAUUCAUGUCUAAACCAUUUUUAGAUAAAAUUAGUUUAUGUUAGCUAAUAAUCGUGAAAGGGUUUACUAAAAAUAAUUUUUGAAUAUUUUUCAAAAUUAAUUAGUUUACUAUCCAAAUAUUAAGGAAUUUUAUUUUGUAGAACAACUAUAAACUGAUACUAAUUUCAGGCAAAGGCAAAACUCUGUGUGGUUUUAAAAACAUCUUUUUUUAGCAACUUAAGAAAUAUCAAACCUCAAUUUACCAAACAAAUGCACUUGGUAAAACGAUUCCAAUAUACUUUGAAUAUUAAUUUGUACACACUUCUGAAAAGACAUAUCUCAAAUGGAAACAUAUUAAAGAUUGAUAUAUUCGAUCUAUAAUAUCUUAUAAACAAUGGACUGGAAAAUUAAAAUGAAAAAUAUUCAAGCAAGGACCUUGCGUGAUCUUGAGAAUCUUGGUGACCAUGGAUUACACAAUAGAUAGGCUUUUGAACAGAGCUUCUUCCUCAGGUUUUGUUGUGUCGAUUCUCUUUCCAAUUCUUUGCUGCUCUCAACUUCUCCAAAUACUUCCCUCGUUGAUUUUAACUCUAUAUUUGUUCAAAAUAAACACUUAGAAUUUAUGUAAUUAUACAUAUAUAUUAUUGGCCGGCUUAAAUAAUUUAUUUCUUGAUAGAAUUUUCAACUAAUAGUAUUAUUGUCUAGAAAUCGUUUGAUCAUUGACAUAUAGGCCCACACAAAAAUUAUACCAAAAUAUAUAUAAAUUAUUCAUUUUAAAAACCUUGCCUUGAAACGGCCACGAUGAAGUUGGCUCUAACAUGUUGUUGCUCUUCUUGAAUUCAUGUAGCUACAAAAUUUAGUUAACCGGUUUAGACUUAACCAGGAUCGAUGAACGUUGUAAACUUGUAAUUGAAAGGAAAAACAUAAAUGUCGAUGGUUGCGACUUGCAAGAAAAUGAAAUUUUCUUACCCAACUCGGUGCACUACUCGGUGAACUAUCCCAACCGAUAUGCGAUACGUGUCGAACAUCUGUAGGAUAUCCAAUUUCCAUCUCAUCCUCUUUCUCAUCUACGUUAAUCCAUUUUGUAAUCAUUAACAAUGAUUAUUUAUGCCCGUUUUAGUUUAGCAAAGCAAGAUAAUUUCAAUGUGUUUACCGAAAACGUCGGAGAAACAAUUGAAUCUCUUCUGAUAAAGCCCUUUGAAUCUUGUAGCCAUGCUCAAUUCCGAGACACUUCGACGACGAUGGUGUUAGAAAAGAACAAAUAACAUUUGGUUUACGAAAGAAUUGCCUUAAGCAGAAAAUAACCAGAAAUGAAUGAAGCUGAAAAUGAAGAUGAAAGAAGAAACAGAAAAGAGACAAAAUUCUCCUUUGUUCGAGGUUGGAAUGAUAUU